UACGGAGGGUGCAAGCGUUAUCCGGAUUCACUGGGUUUAAAGGGUGCGUAGGCGGGUAUAUAAGUCAGCGGUGAAAUCUCCGGGCUCAACCCGGAAACUGCCAUUGAUACUAUUAGUCUUGAAUAUUGUUGAGGUAGGCGGAACGGGUCAUGUAGCGGUGAAAUGCAUAGAUAUGACCCGGAACACCGAUUGCGAAGGCAGCCUACUAAGCAAUUAUUGACGCUGAGGCACGAAAGCGUGGGGGAAUCAAACAGG
rnacentral:rRNA from 1 species